UGGCUCAGGAUGAACGCUAGCUACAGGCUUAACACAUGCAAGUCGAGGGGGCAGCAUGUUGGUUGCUUGCAACCAAUGAUGGCGACCGGCGCACGGGUGAGUAACGCGUAUCCAACCUUCCCCUUAGUAGAGGAUAGCCCGGCGAAAGUCGGAUUAAUACUCUAUGUUCUUCAAUGCGGACAUCUAAGUUGAAGCAAAGAUUUAUCGCUAAGGGAUGGGGAUGCGUCUGAUUAGGUUGCAGGCGGGGUAACGGCCCACCUGGCCUACGAUCAGUAGGGGUUCUGAGAGGAAGGUCCCCCACACUGGUACUGAGACACGGACCAGACUCCUACGGGAGGCAGCAGUGAGGAAUAUUGGUCAAUGGGCGCGAGCCUGAACCAGCCAAGUAGCGUGCAAGGACGACUGCCCUAUGGGUUGUAAACUGCUUUUAUCAGGGAAUAAAGUGAGGCACGCGUGCCUUUUUGUAUGUACCUGAUGAAUAAGGACCGGCUAAUUCCGUGCCAGCCGCCGC
rnacentral:rRNA from 1 species